UGGAGAAAUCAAAAGUGCCAUUUUCUGGCUA
rnacentral:piRNA from 1 species